UACAGAGGUCUCAAGCGUUGUUCGGAUUCAUUGGGCGUAAAGGGUGCGUAGGCGGCGCGGUAAGUCGGGUGUGAAAUCUCGGAGCUUAACUCCCGAAACUGCAUUCGAUACUGCCGUGCUUGAGGACUGGAGAGGAGACUGGAAUUUACGGUGUAGCGUGAAAUGCGUAGAUAUCGUAAGGAAGACCAGUGGCGAAGGCGGGUCUCUGGACAGUUCCUGACGCUGAGGCACGAAGGCCAGGGGAGCAAACGGG
rnacentral:rRNA from 1 species